rnacentral:rRNA from 1 species
ACUGAGACACGGCCCAGACUCCUACGGGAGGCAGCAGUGGGGAAUUUUGGACAAUGGGCGCAAGCCUGAUCCAGCCAUGCCGCGUGAGUGAAGAAGGCCUUCGGGUUGUAAAGCUCUUUUAGUCGGAAAGAAAGAGUUGCAAUGAAUAAUUGUGAUUUAUGACGGUACCGACAGAAAAAGCACCGGCUAACUACGUGCCAGCAGCCGCGGUAAUACGUAGGGUGCGAGCGUUAAUCGGAAUUACUGGGCGUAAAGGGUGCGCAGGCGGUCUUGCAAGUCAGAUGUGAAAGCCCCGGGCUUAACCUGGGAAUUGCGUUUGAAACUACAAGGCUAGAGUGCAGCAGAGGGGAGUGGAAUUCCAUGUGUAGCAGUGAAAUGCGUAGAGAUGUGGAAGAACACCGAUGGCGAAGGCAGCUCCCUGGGUUGACACUGACGCUCAUGCACGAAAGCGUGGGGAGCAAACAGGAUUAGAUACCCUGGUAGUCCACGCCCUAAACGAUGUCAACUAGUUGUCGGAUCUAAUUAGGAUUUGGUAACGUAGCUAACGCGUGAAGUUGACCGCCUGGGGAGUACGGUCGCAAGAUUAAAACUCAAAGGAAUUGACGGGGACCCGCACAAGCGGUGGAUUAUGUGGAUUAAUUCGAUGCAACGCGAAAAACCUUACCUACCCUUGACAUGCUUGGAAAUCUAAUGGAGA